rnacentral:snRNA from 1 species
UCAUUUCUGCAGUGCAUAUACUAAAACUGGAUGUAAAGAAACAAUUAGCAUGGCUCCUGUGCAACUGUGACAUGAAAAUUGGUAAAGUGUUUCAUUUUUUU